rnacentral:misc_RNA from 1 species
AACCUAGCACACCUGCGGUGUGUACCUGCGGAGGGAUCAUUACAAGUGACCCCGGUUUACCACCGGGAUGUUCAUAACCCUUUGUUGUCCGACUCUGUUGCCUCCGGGGCGACCCUGCCUUCGGGCGGGGGCUCCGGGUGGACACUUCAAACUCUUGCGUAACUUUGCAGUCUGAGUAAACUUAAUUAAUAAAUUAAAACUUUCAACAACGGAUCU